rnacentral:lncRNA from 1 species
AUGGCAGAUCCUGCCACUAUCAUGGGAGGGUGUGAAGGCACUAGGGGCCCUAGACUGGGAGGCUUCAGGAGUGGUGACUGGGCCAGGGUUGCUGCUGAGGCCUAGGAGCUCAAGGAGGCAAGGACAAGGACAAGGAAUAGCUCUCUGUCACCAAGGUGGGUUACCUGAUCAAAGACAUGACGAGUUCCUGGAGGAAAUCUCUCUAUUCUCCCCGCCCAUCAAGGAGUCUGAGAUCGUUCACUUUUUCCUAAGGAUGUCCUCAAAGAUGAGGUUUUGAAGAUUAUGCCCAUGCAAAAAGAGACCUAUGCUGGCCAGUGGACCAGGUUCAAGGGAUUUGUCACAGUCAGGGACAAGAGUCACAUCAGUCUGUGUGUUAGGUAUUCCAAGGAAGUAGUCCCUGCCAUCUGCAGGCCACCAUUCACUGGCCAACCUCUCCAUUUCCCAUGUGCAGUGAAGCUACCUGGGGAACAAGAUCAUUAAGACCCACAGUCCCUUGCCAGGUAACCACUGCAGCUCUGUGCUGGUGGCCUCAUCCCAGUCCCUAGAAGCACUGCCCGCCCCUGUGCCCAAAAGCUGCUGCUGAUGACCCCUAUCAAUGACUGCUACACCUCCACCAGGAGCUACACUGCUACCCUAGGCACCUUUGCCAAGGUCACCUUUAAUACUAUCUUCAAGACCUAUAGCUAUCUCAUCCCCAACACCUCAAGAAAGACAACACGUUCAAUGAGUCUCCCUAUCAGGAAUUCACUGACCAUCUUGUAAGACCCAUACCGGAGUCUCCAUGAAGAAGACCCAGGCUCCAGCUGUGGCUGCUAUGUAG